AAAUGGUAGUACAUUAAAAUAAACGAACUUCUGAACAAAUCUUAAAACUAAAUUGGGCUAAACAAGAUAUUAAAGGUUGUAAUUUACUAAAACUCUUUUGGCAGGGGGGUGUUGUUCUUGUAUGGGCUCGGGUUGUGCAUGGGGGCACUUGGGCGCCCUAUUUUCUUAACGAGGUUCUUGGGGGUUGGUGAUCGCUUUGUUUAUGUCUGUUUGGUGGCUCCUUUCUUCGCUGUGUGUGGGGUGCUUCGUCUGUGUGGUGGAUGCACUGUCUGCCCCUAUGGUUCGUCUUCGAUUCUUGUGGGGGAUGUUUUCAGGCUGUGGGUACUUGUGUCCCUGGGUGUUCGUUCUGUGGCUCUUCCGUGUCUUGUCUCUCUGGGGUUUCUAUUGCUUCGGUGGCCGGGGCCUGGGAGGUAGCAUUUGCU
rnacentral:lncRNA from 1 species